AGCGAACGCUGGCGGCAGGCCUAACACAUGCAAGUCGAACGGACCCUUCGGGGUUAGUGGCGGACGGGUGAGUAACACGUGGGAACGUGCCUUUAGGUUCGGAAUAGCUCCUGGAAACGGGUGGUAAUGCCGAAUGUGCCCUUCGGGGGAAAGAUUUAUCGCCUUUAGAGCGGCCCGCGUCUGAUUAGCUAGUUGGUGAGGUAAUGGCUCACCAAGGCGACGAUCUGUAGCUGGUCUGAGAGGAUGACCAGCCACAUUGGGACUGAGACACGGCCCAAACUCCUACGGGAGGCAGCAGUGGGGAAUCUUGCGCAAUGGGCGAAAGCCUGACGCAGCCAUGCCGCGUGGAUGAUGAAGGUCUUAGGAUUGUAAAAUCCUUUCACCGGUGAAGAUAAUGACUGUAGCCGGAGAAGAAGCCCCGGCUAACUUCGUGCCAGCCGCCGCCGUAAUAC
rnacentral:rRNA from 1 species